rnacentral:rRNA from 1 species
CAGCCGCCACGGUAAUACGAAGGGGGCUAGCGUUGUUCGGAAUUACUGGGCGUAAAGCGCACGUAGGCGGAUAUUUAAGUCAGGGGUGAAAUCCCGCAGCUCAACUGCGGAACUGCCUUUGAUACUGGGUAUCUUGAGUAUGGAAGAGGUUAGUGGAAUUGCGAGUGUAGAGGUGAAAUUCGUAGAUAUUCGCAGGAACACCAGUGGCGAAGGCGGCUAACUGGUCCAUAACUGACGCUGAGGUGCGAAAGCGUGGGGAGCAAACAGGAUUAGAUACCCCCGUAGUCCCUGUCUCUUAUAC